rnacentral:rRNA from 1 species
UACGUAGGGUGCUAGCGUUGUUCGGAAUCAUUGGGCGUAAAGCGCGUGUAGGCGGUCAGGCAAGUCAGAUGUGAAAUCCCUGGGCUCAACCGAGGAAGUGCAUCCGAAACUGCUUGGCUAGAAGACGGUAGAGGAAGGUGGAAUUCCUAGUGUAGAGGUGAAAUUCGUAGAUAUUAGGAGGAAUACCGGUGGCGAAGGCGGCCUUCUGGGCCGAUCUUGACGCUGAGACGCGAAAGCGUUGGGGAGCAAACAGG